UAGGUACUCCCUCGGUCCAAAACACUUGUCGGGGAAAUGGAUGUAACUAGACGUAUUUUAGUUCUAGAUACAUUCAUUUUAUCCAUUUCUCCGACAAGUAAUACCAGACGGAGGGAGUACUCA
rnacentral:pre_miRNA from 1 species